AAUAAAUAAUUGUAUAUAAUUAAGUAUAAGCAAUAUAAUGUCAAAUAAUUAUAUCUUCCUACUCUACCACUUUGCCUUUUACUUUGUGUGUGACUGAUUUAGGCACUUCUACAGGGAAAAGCUACCGACUAAUGAGAUAAACAGAAGCAUUGCCAACCCUUUUGACAGAAGUAAUGCUAUGUGAGCUCCAAAUCCACGUCAUUUUCUUUCUGGGUCCACUAUGAAACUCUGUUUUCUCAUCACCCUUGCUGAUGUCUGUCACUUCCAGAACGGGCCGAUAAGACUUUUCCACACUUGAUCUUUGACUCUCUCACUGGUCCUUCCGUGGAGACCGCAAGUGAAAGACAGUGACAUCAGGAGACAGAAGGAGCUUGGGUCCCUUGGGCGUGCUUCGCUACCUCGGAAAAUGAACCAGGAGCAUCUGCAAUGGAUUUUCCUGAGCGAGGGCUCAGAACAAAUUGGAAUUGGCAAAAAAAUGGAGAGAGAGUCUGUGGAAUGAUAAUGUCCAAGGUUCUCAUGAUUACCAGAAACUGUGGGCAGAGCAGACAGGGAGAAGAGAACAAGAGAAACACAAAAUGCAAUAUCAUUUCAAAUCAGAACACCUAAGAAAAAAUACUUGUAACUGCGUGAAUUUUCACGUCUUAAUAACAAAAGAAUUUCAGAGUUUGAAUAAAUCCUAGAGGCCAUGUAGUCCAUUGAUGUGUAAUCUCAGACACAAUAAUAG